rnacentral:rRNA from 1 species
GAUGAACGCUGGCGGCGUGCCUAAUACAUGCAAGUCGAGCGAACAGACCCGGCUCUUGCUCCUCUGUCGUUAGCGGCGGACGGGUGAGUCACACGUGUAUACCCUACCUAUCUUUCUGGGAUCACCUCGGGACACCGGCGCUAAUACCGUAUAAUCUCUUGCUCCGUAUGGUUCAAUAGUGAAAUUCGGCUUUUCUGUCUCUUCUAGCUGGAUCCGCGCCGUUUUAGCUAGUUGGUAAGGUCACGGCUUACCACGGCAACGAUGCGUAGCCGAAGUGAGGGGGGGGUAGGCCACAUGGGAGCGGGAACACGGUCCAGACGCCUAAGGGAGGCAGCAGUAGGGAAUCGGACGCAGUGGGCGAAAGCCUGACGGAGCAGGGCGGCGUGAGUGAUAAAGGUCUUCGGAUCGUAAAACUGUGUUAUGAGGGAAAAACAGAUGUGGAAGUAAAUAUGCACGGAGUGACGGUAACUGAUCAAAAAGCAACGGCUAACUACGUG